rnacentral:lncRNA from 1 species
UUGAUAGGCAAAAAAAAAAAAGAUAAAAAAAAAGUGAAAUCGAUACCUUGUGACACCAAGAGAAAGUGAUCUGAAAAUGUCACAGGGCAGGAUGGCAAAGGGGCCCUGCAUCUGCAGCAUCAGCUUAAAUCAGCAUGUGUCAUGGGUGUUCAGCACCUUCAGAAAUUUGGCCCUUCAGAAUCUUUUCCCUUAAUCAGAGGCGCUGGAGCAUUGCCAGCUACUAAAAGGUUGGGUUAGGCAAAAGGAAGUUGGUUUAGCUUGUUGAGUCAAGUGAUUUCAUGUUACUUGCUCUAGAGGGAGGCUUUUUGUUCUGAAGGGAAUCAGUUGCCAGUGGUUAAGUUGUACUUUUAGAACGUAUAUAUUUAAUUAGGAAUCGGAAACUUGAUAGGCAGAAUGGGCAGAGGGAAAUGUUCAGUGCAUUGGUGCUUUGAGCAUGUGAGGAAUGAUUUGAAUUUGUUGAGGAAGGAGGAAGCUGGUCUGGAGCAAAUGUUCUUAAGACAAAUGAAAAAGCAUUUUAAAUCAUUGAUGAGAAAGUAUUGGUCUGUGGAACUGAAACUGCUCAGCUUCAUUUCUUCCCUAUCUAGAAAACCUACUAGCUAAGCUGGGUAAGUGCAGAUUGUAUCAACUAUUAAGCACAAGUUUUUUUCUUUGGGCAGCAUAUCUCCCUCACCUAGGAAGUCUUUAGAUGGUGGGAUAGUGGACCAUCCAUCUCGAAGUCUUUUCAGCUUCAGAGCUGCAGGUACUCCAUCUGAUAGCUGUCUGCUUCGGAGGCUAUCUGGAUUAUGGGGAAGCCCCCGCUGCAUGUUGGAUUGCUGGGACACAAGGGCAAAAACAAAGCAGCAAGUGGACUAAAAUGUGGAGAAAUGCUGCUUCAAUACCACAUAAACAUUUCUGUAACCUUAAAAGUUUUGUUGGAAGAAACUAUGGAUAUUAUCUGUUCAACUUUCUGCUUGAAGAAGGACCAGCACCAGAGCAUGUCAGCUGUGGUUUUGUCACUGAGACUGGAAAAACUCUAGUGACAGAGUUAUCAAUCCUGUAUUUUGUCUGAGAUUAUUAAAGAGAAAAGUAGUUUGAGUGUGUUGUACUUGUUUUCCUUUUUUGGAUAGGCUUUGUCUUCCGUGAUUGAAGCAUCCUCAACAGUUGAAAUCAUAGAAUCAUUAAGGUUGGAAAAGACCUUCAGGAUCAUCUUGUCCAACCUUCUCCAACCAAUAAUAUCAGCCACUUAACCAUGUCCCUAAGCAUCAGGUCCAACAUUUC